UACGUAGGGACCGAGCGUUGUCCGGAAUCAUUGGGCGUAAAGAGCGUGUAGGCGGCCACUUAAGUCCUGCGUGAAAUCUUGCGGCUCAACCGCAAGCGGUCGUGGGAAACUGGGUGGCUAGAGUGCGGGAGAGGAGAGUGGAAUUCCUGGUGUAGCGGUGGAAUGCGCAGAUAGUCAGGAAGAACACCCGUGGCGAAGGCGGCUCUCUGGAACGCAACUGACGCUGAGACGCGAAAGCGUGGGGAGCAAACAGG
rnacentral:rRNA from 1 species